rnacentral:rRNA from 1 species
AAGAAAUUUAAUAAUUUUGAAAAUGGAUUUUUUUUUUGUUUUGGCAAGAGCAUGAGAGCUUUUACUGGGCAAGAAGACAAGAGAUGGAGAGUCCAGCCGGGCCUGCGCUUAAGUGCGCGGUCUUGCUAGGCUUGUAAGUUUCUUUCUUGCUAUUCCAAACGGUGAGAGAUUUCUGUGCUUUUGUUAUAGGACAAUUAAAACCGUUUCAAUACAACACACUGUGGAGUUUUCAUAUCUUUGCAACUUUUUCUUUGGGCAUUCGAGCAAUCGGGGCCCAGAGGUAACAAACACAAACAAUUUUAUCUAUUCAUUAAAUUUUUGUCAAAAACAAGAAUUUUCGUAACUGGAAAUUUUAAAAUAUUAA